UUGCUGGAAACCUCCCAAUUUUAACCGACUCCCAGGAUCAAUGAACAGGCAUUCCAAUUCCACUCCUAUCAAUUCCAGUAGCCGAGCCCCCAUAAAAUGGGGACGAGGAUCUUUGAUUCAUCUAAAUAGCGAGGCGUCAUCUAUAACCGGUACUUCAAGCACUGUCAUCAACGGUAAUCGGAAGAGGAAGCAACGCUGCCCCGUUGAAAAUGGUCAGGACAAAGUCAAGGAACGUGCACCCAUUGCAAAGAAUGAAACAAACACGACGUAGAAAGAAAUCAGUUGUCGUAUCCAAGAAAUUUACACCAAACUGAUGUCAGAUUCGAAUUUUUGUCGCUGGGCUGGGAUUAUUGCUAGAACCUGUCCAAUCUGUAGAUUUAUAUGGAUGUCAGAAACUGAACCGAAGAAGCUGAACAGUGAUAUCACAGCACUGUACUCGAAUUGAUGACCCUGUCAAAAACUCAACCAUAUAUAUAUGAUUGUAGAUGACACGAAAAUUAUCUAGUGUUUGAUGAAGCAUAAAUGAAAUACAACCAAAAAAACGAUGUGGACUUCAAAAUGAGGCAAAAUAAUAAAGUCCAUCAGGUCGACAAGAAGACUUCCUCAGGGGAAAUUGUCGAGUUGGUAAAUUGUGAAAUCGAUUUGACAUUACAAAUAGCCUAGCGUUUUACUGUGAAAGAAAUAGAAAAUUAUGAUUUUAUUAAAAUUAUGUUAAAAAACACAUAAAUUGAUACUACCCGAUUGAUACUACGAAUCAUAGUCUAUGAUCAAGA